AACGAACGCUGGCGGCAUGCCUAACACAUGCAAGUCGAACGAGACCUUCGGGUCUAGUGGCGCACGGGUGCGUAACGCGUGGGAAUCUGCCCUUCGGUUCGGAAUAACAGUGGGAAACUACUGCUAAUACCGGAUAAUGACGUAAGUCCAAAGAUUUAUCGCCGAAGGAUGAGCCCGCGUAGGAUUAGCUAGUUGGUGGGUAAAGGCCUACCAAGGCGACGAUCCUCAGCUGGUCNGAGAGGAUGAUCAGCCACACUGGACUGAGACACGGCCCAGACUCCUACGGGAGGCAGCAGUGGGGAAUAUUGGACAAUGGGCGAAAGCCUGAUCCAGCAAUGCCGCGUGAGUGAUGAAGGCCUUAGGGUUGUAAAG
rnacentral:rRNA from 1 species